GCCUGAGUGGCUCAGUCAGUUAAGCAUCUGACUUCAGCUCAGGUUGUGAUGUUGAGGUUUGUGAGUUUGAACCCCACUUUGGGCU
rnacentral:tRNA from 1 species